GAGCGGCAAGGAGGAGCAAUCUUCCUUAGAGCGGCGGACUGGUGAGUAACGCGUGGGUGACUUACCUUGAGGCCGGGGAUAGCCGUUAGAAAUAGCGGGUAAUACCGGAUACGCUCAUCACUGUUAGAGGGUGAUGAGGAAAGGGGCUACGGCCCCGCCUUAAGAGUGGCCCGCGGCCCAUUAUGCUUGUUGGUGUGGUAACGGCGCACGAAGGCUCUGAUGGGUAUCCGGCCUAAGAGGGUGAACGGACACAUUGGGACUGAGAUACGGCCCAGACUCCUACGGGAGGCAGCAGCUAAGAAUAUUCCGCAAUGGGCGAAAGCCUGACGGAGCGACGCCGCGUGGGUGAGGAAGGCCGAAAGGUUGUAAAGCCCUUUUGAACCUGACGAAUAAGCGCGGGAGGGAAUGCCCGCGUGGUG
rnacentral:rRNA from 1 species